AGAGCUAUAGGCAGUGAGCUGAGGCAGGAAUCAGAUGGCUUUACCCAUGGAGAUUUUUGUUGCUGGCUAAUUUGCUACAUAUUCUUAGAACUGGUUUGAUUAAGAAAAAAAGCUGUUGGUGUGGUGACUGGAAGUCUAACAACAAUCACCACAAUAGAUAUCUGCAGCCCUGAAACCAAUUUUCAGGCUUGAAUUUCUUUUACUUUUCUUCUUUCUUUCUUAUUGUGUGUCUCCAAGUCCUGAGUCUACUGGGGUUAUGUAGAAAAAAAGUUUUAAACAUUUUUUUGGGAAAUAAUUGCAAAGUUACAGCUAAAUUAUAAGAAAAAAAGAAGAGUUCUACACUUUGGGAGGCCGAGGCGGGUGGAUCAUGAGGUCAGGAGAUCGAGACCAUCCUGGCUAACAAGGUGAAACCCCGUCUCUACUAAAAAUACAAAAAAUUAGCCGGGCGCGGUGGCGGGCGCCUGUAGUCCCAGCUACUCGGGAGGCUGAGGCAGGAGAAUGGCGUGAACCCGGGAAGCAGAGCUUGCAGUGAGCCGAGAUUGCGCCACUGCAGUCCGCAGUCCGACCUGGGCGACAGAGCGAGACUCCGUCUCAAAAAAAAAAAAAAAAAAAAAAAAAAGAAGAGUUCUAUACCUUUUUACCCAGGUUCUCAAAUGUUUAACAUUUUAUCAGAUUUGUUUUCUAUAUAUACAUAUAAUUAUCAAUAUUUUUCCUUAAGCUUUGAGAAUAAGUUGCAUACAACAUGGUCCUUUACUUCUCUAAGUACUUCAGAGUAUAUUCAUUCACAAAGUAGAUACUCCAGUACGUACAGAGUUUAUCAACGUGAACAAAUUUAACAUUACUAAAGAAAUUUUAUUGAAUCUUCUUUCUGCAUGACAAUUCUGUCAAUUUACCCAGUAAUGUCCUUUAUAGCACUGUCUUCCCUGGAGUACUGGUCUACCAUAAGACCGCAUCUCAUACAGUAUGUUUCUGUAGUCUCCUUUAACAUUUGAAAUUUUCCAGCAAAUUUUUGCCUUUUAGAAUACUGAUCUGUUUUUUAGAAAUAUACUUCAGGCCAUUUGUAAACCCUAUUUUCUCACCUGAAACUUCUCUCUCUAGAUCUUACCUAUGUUCAAACUUUGAAGGGUAUUUUUAGAUCUAAGAGAUCUGGGUCUUUAAAGUCAGUCUUGGCCAGAAUCAGGCUGCAAAUGCCAAAGCAAGAGAUGUCAGCAAUGAGUUGCAGGUCUUUGCCAAACAGAGCAUCAUCUGGCAGUGAAAGGAGAGCAGAAGAGGGGAUUUUGAAGUCUUCCUGCACACUUCCGACAACUUGAUUGAACUGGACGCCCUUGGAAGUUCAUGGCAUCGCCUAUAACAGAGUCUGUGUAGGCAAAACCCCAGCCUAUGCUGGAAUUUAACUCUUAAAAAGCAACCUAAGUAGAACACAAGAUUGUAAACUCUAAGGAGAUUCUAACACCAAAAGAAAGUAUGACUUGAGCCAAUGAAAUGCCAAAAUCCAGUUCUAGCUGACAACGUCAGUAGUGGAGGACAGACUUCCACUUGCCAUUUGAGGAAAAAGCAUGUGGAUUCAUGAGCAUAACAGCAGAUACCCCACUACCAAUUACCAAAUCCUGUGCACAUUCCUGUUCUCCAGUCACCUUUUCUCCAUAAAUGUUUGUGGUAUAAAAUGAAAACCUUCCCAAAUAUUAACCAGUCAA
rnacentral:lncRNA from 1 species